UACCUGGUUGAUUCUGCCAGUAGUCAUAUGCUUGUCUCAAAGAUUAAGCCAUGCAUGUCUAAGUAUAAGCACUUAUACCGUGAAACUGCGAAUGGCUCAUUAAAUCAGUUAUCGUUUAUUUGAUAGUACCUUACUACAUGGAUACCCGUGGUAAUUCUAGAGCUAAUACAUGCUAAAAACCUCGACUUCGGAAGGGGUGUAUUUAUUAGAUAAAAAACCAAUGCCCUUCGGGGCUCCUUGGUGAUUCAUAAUAACUUGUCGAAUCGCAUGGCCUUGUGCUGGCGAUGGUUCAUUCAAAUUUCUGCCCUAUCAACUUUCGAUGGUAGGAUAGUGGCCUACCAUGGUGGCAACGGGUAACGGGGAAUUAGGGUUCGAUUCCGGAGAGGGAGCCUGAGACCGGCUACCACAUCCAAGGAAGGCAGCAGGCGCGCAAAUUACCCAAUCCCAACACGGGGAGGUAGUGACAAUAAAUACUAAUACAGGGCUCUUUCGGGUCUUGUAAUUGGAAUGAGUACAAUUUAAAUCCCUUAACGAGGAACAAUUGGAGGGCAAGUCUGGUGCCAAACAGCCGCGGUAAUUCCAGCUCCAAUAGCGUAUAUUAAAGUGAAU
rnacentral:ncRNA from 1 species